ACGAAUAAGGCGAAUCGCCAUCACUGCGGCAUAUGCAGCUGUCAAAACUCAACACAACAGUUGGUAAACAGAGAAACGAGUGUCGUAAGCAUUGAAAAUUACUUUCAUUUUCUAUUUAAAUUUGAUUUAAUUUAUUUCAAAUUUGCUUAAUCAAAGUACCGAACGGCAUAGUAGACGAAUUGGACAGGUUAAUUUCGCAUUACCUUCUAUCUCCCCAGGAUCAGGGGGCAUCAUAGUAAAUACAGUUUAUUUCUAAAAUCGCCAUCAGUCACCUGAACAUUAGCGGAAGUUACAGAUAAUACAUGACUUAAAACCGUACUAAAGGAAAGAAAUAUCAGUGUAUAUAGUGUAUUAACAUAUUAUAUUACACAUACUCUUAACAAGAAUGAUUGAUAAUUGUACAAAUUGUUAUAGUUUUUUUUGUAAUUUAAGUUAAAAAUAGCUUUUUCUAGGAACAAAAUGCUUCAUUUUUA